CCUCGGGAGGCAGCAGUGGGGGAUAUUGCACAAUGGGGGGAACCCUGAUGCAGCGACGCCGCGUGGGUGAAGAAGCGCCUCGGCGCGUAAAGCCCUGUCAGCCGGGAAGAAAAUGACGGUACCCAAAGAGGAAGCUCCGGCUAACUACGUGCCAGCAGCCGCGGUAAUACGUAGGGAGCGAGCGUUGUCCGGAAUUACUGGGUGUAAAGGGAGCGUAGGCGGGCGAGAAAGUUGAAUGUUAAAUCUACCGGCUUAACUGGUAGCUGCGUUCAAAACUUCUUGUCUUGAGUGAAGUAGAGGCAGGG
rnacentral:rRNA from 1 species